AUAACGGCGUCGAGCGGCGGACGGGUGAGUAAUGCCUAGGAAAUUGCCCUGAUGUGGGGGAUAACCAUUGGAAACGAUGGCUAAUACCGCAUGAUGCCUACGGGCCAAAGAGGGGGACCUUCGGGCCUCUCGCGUCAGGAUAUGCCUAGGUGGGAUUAGCUAGUUGGUGAGGUAAGGGCUCACCAAGGCGACGAUCCCUAGCUGGUCUGAGAGGAUGAUCAGCCACACUGGAACUGAGACACGGUCCAGACUCCUACGGGAGGCAGCAGUGGGGAAUAUUGCACAAUGGGCGCAAGCCUGAUGCAGCCAUGCCGCGUGUAUGAAGAAGGCCUUCGGGUUGUAAAGUACUUUCAGUCGUGAGGAAGGCGGCGUCGUUAAUAGCGGCGUUGUUUGACGUUAGC
rnacentral:rRNA from 1 species